CGCAAGUGCUCCUGCUCUCCACCAUCGCUUCUACCUCUGCCCUAACAUUUUGCCGCUUCCACCAUCGUUUCCCCUAUCGCUCUUCGUUUCAGCCAUCCCUCUGCCCUUCGCCUCUCCUGCCACGCAUCCACCCAUCAUCUUGCCAAUCGCAAGACUAAUCUGAGUGCUCUCUCCUUACCCCUGCCUAAUUUUCUCGAAUUGGGUUCUUCAGUCUUGAAGCCCAGCAAUGGCUCAGAACCUACAGUUGGAAAGACCCUUGUUAAGGACGGAGGUCUAUUUUUUUAUAGAAACUUGGUACUGGAUUGGUGUAUGAGCAGCAUGUUCAAUCUUCUUUUUAUUGAAGUAUUGACAUUUUUAGAGCCUCUAGGAGAUAAUAAAGCUGUUAUUCUUGAGGAUGAUGAGCAAAACAAGGAUAGACGGCAAGUUGCAUCACAUCCUGGAGG